AGCUUGGCGGGCUCCCAACUGGUGACUGGUUAGUGAUGAGGCUAGUGAUGAGGCUGUGUGCUUCUGAGCUGGGCAUCCGAAGGCAUCCUUGGGGAAGCUGAGGGCACGAGGAGGGGCUGCCAGACUCCGGGAGCUGCUGCCUGGCUGGGAUUCCUACACAAUGCGUUGCCUGGCUCCACGCCCUGCUGGGUCCUACCUGUCAGAGCCCCAAGGGCCAGCAUCAGAGGAGUGAAUAGCUCAGUUAGCUCAUCUCAGGGGCCAUGUGCCCUCAGAGGUGGUUUGCCACUUUCACGGUUGGACUGAGUUGGAGAGAAACAGAGACCCACCCAGGGGUGGGGACAAGCUCCCUGCAAAUCAGGACUUGCAGAUCACUUGCCCAAGUGGCUCCCUAGCUCCUGGCUCCUGGCCCGGGGCCUGGGACUCUCCCCGAAGUGGGGCUGGCCACUGUGAGGAACCGACUGGAGGCAGGGACCUCUUGGAUGGCCCAGGCAGUUGGGAUGCCACUUCUGAUAAAGCACGUGGUGGCCACAGUAGGUGCUUGGUUGCUCCACAGCCUGGCCCGAGCUCAGCGCUGUAGAAAGAAAGUGAAAGGGAAAAAGAACUGCGGGGAGGCGGGGAGGUAGGAUGACCAGCGGACGAGCUGCCACAGACUUGCCGCGGCCCCAGAGCUGGCGGGAGGGAGAGGCCACCAGCAGCGCGCGCGGGAGCCCGGGGAACAGCGGCAGCUCACAGUGUGCCACCAUGGAGUUGGGGCCCCUAGAAGGUGGCUACCUGGAGCUUCUUAACAGCGAUGCUGACCCCGUGUGCCUCUACCACUUCUAUGACCAGAUGGACCUCGCUGGAGAAGAAGAGAUUGAGCUCUACUCAGAACCCGACACAGACACCAUCAACUGUGACCAGUUCAGCAGGCUGUUGUGUGACAUGGAAGGUGAUGAAGAGACCAGGGAGGCUUAUGCCAAUAUCGCGGAACUGGACCAGUAUGUCUUCCAGGACUCCCAGCUGGAGGGCCUGAGCAAAGACAUUUUCAAGCACAUAGGACCAGAUGAAGUGAUCGGUGAGAGUAUGGAGAUGCCAGCAGAAGUUGGGCAGAAAAGUCAGAAAAGACCCUUCCCAGAGGAGCUUCCGGCAGACCUGAAGCACUGGAAGCCAGCUGAACCCCCCACUGUGGUGACUGGCAGUCUCCUAGUGGGACCAGUGAGCGACUGCUCCACCCUGCCCUGCCUGCCACUGCCUGCGCUGUUCAACCAGGAGCCAGCCUCCGGCCAGAUGCGCCUGGAGAAAACCGACCAGAUUCCCAUGCCUUCCUCCAGUUCCUCGUUGAGCUGCCUGAAUCUCCCUGAGGGACCCAUCCAGUUUGUCCCCACCAUCUCCACUCUGCCCCAUGGGCUCUGGCAAAUCUCUGAGGCUGGAACAGGGGUCUCCAGUAUAUUCAUCUACCAUGGUGAGGUGCCCCAGGCCAGCCAAGUACCCCCUCCCAGUGGAUUCACUGUCCAUGGCCUCCCAACAUCUCCAGACCGGCCAGGCUCCACCAGCCCCUUCGCUCCAUCAGCCACUGACCUGCCCAGCAUGCCUGAACCUGCCCUGACUUCCCGAGCAAACAUGACAGAGCACAAGACGUCCCCCACCCAAUGCCAGGCAGCUGGAGAGGUCUCCAACAAGCUUCCAAAAUGGCCUGAGCCGGUGGAGCAGUUCUACCGCUCACUGCAGGACACGUAUUGUGCCGAGCCCGCAGGCCCCGAUGGCAUCCUAGUGGAGGUGGAUCUGGUGCAGGCCAGGCUGGAGAGGAGCAGCAGCAAGAGCCUGGAGCGGGAACUGGCCACCCCGGACUGGGCAGAACGGCAGCUGGCCCAAGGAGGCCUGGCUGAGGUGCUGUUGGCUGCCAAGGAGCACCGGCGGCCGCGUGAGACACGAGUGAUUGCUGUGCUGGGCAAACCUGGUCAGGGCAAGAGCUAUUGGGCUGGGGCAGUGAGCCGGGCCUGGGCUUGUGGCCGGCUUCCCCAGUACGACUUUGUCUUCUCUGUCCCCUGCCAUUGCUUGAACCGUCCGGGGGAUGCCUAUGGCCUGCAGGAUCUGCUCUUCUCCCUGGGCCCACAGCCACUCGUGGCGGCCGAUGAGGUUUUCAGCCACAUCUUGAAGAGACCUGACCGCGUUCUGCUCAUCCUAGACGCCUUCGAGGAGCUGGAAGCGCAAGAUGGCUUCCUGCACAGCACGUGCGGACCGGCACCGGCGGAGCCCUGCUCCCUCCGGGGGCUGCUGGCCGGCCUUUUCCAGAAGAAGCUGCUCCGAGGUUGCACCCUCCUCCUCACAGCCCGGCCCCGGGGCCGCCUGGUCCAGAGCCUGAGCAAGGCCGACGCCCUAUUUGAGCUGUCCGGCUUCUCCAUGGAGCAGGCCCAGGCCUACGUGAUGCGCUACUUUGAGAGCUCAGGGAUGACAGAGCACCAAGACAGAGCCCUGACGCUCCUCCGGGACCGGCCACUUCUUCUCAGUCACAGCCACAGCCCUACUUUGUGCCGGGCAGUGUGCCAGCUCUCAGAGGCCCUGCUGGAGCUUGGGGAGGACGCCAAGCUUCCCUCCACGCUCACGGGACUCUAUGUCGGCCUGCUGGGCCGUGCAGCCCUCAACAGCCCCCCCGGGGCCCUGGCAGAGCUGGCCAAGCUGGCCUGGGAGCUGGGCCGCAGACAUCAAAGUACCCUACAGCAGGACCAGUUCCCAUCCGCAGACGUGAGGACCUGGGCGAUGGCCAAAGGCUUAGUCCAACACCCACCGGGGGCCGCAGAGUCCGAGCUGGCCUUCCCCAGCUUCCUCCUGCAAUGCUUCCUGGGGGCCCUGUGGCUGGCUCUGAGUGGCGAAAUCAAGGACAAGGAGCUCCCGCAGUACCUAGCAUUGACCCCAAGGAAGAAGAGACCCUAUGACAACUGGCUGGAGGGCGUGCCACGCUUUCUGGCUGGGCUGAUCUUCCAGCCUCGCGCCCGCUGCCUGGGAGCCCUAGUCGGGCCAUCGGCGGCUGCCUUGGCGGACAGGAAGCAGAAGGUGCUUGCGAGGUACCUGAAGCGGCUGCAGCCGGGGACACUGCGGGCGCGGCAGCUGCUGGAACUGCUGCACUGCGCCCACGAGGCCGAGGAGGCUGGAAUUUGGCAGCACGUGGUACAGGAGCUCCCCGGCCGCCUCUCUUUUCUGGGCACCCGUCUCACGCCUCCUGAUGCACAUGUACUGGGCAAGGCCUUGGAGGCGGCGGGCCAAGACUUCUCCCUGGACCUCCGCAGCACUGGCAUUUGCCCCUCUGGAUUGGGGAGCCUCGUGGGACUCAGCUGUGUCACCCGUUUCAGGUCUAGCCUGGUCACCAUGCCUGGGUCUGAGGCCCUCCCUCCACAGGGCUGCCUUGAGUGACACAGUGGCGCUGUGGGAGUCCCUGCGGCAGCAUGGGGAGACCAAGCUACUUCAGGCAGCAGAGGAGAAGUUCACCAUCGAGCCUUUCAAAGCCAAGUCCCUGAAGGAUGUGGAAGACCUGGGAAAGCUUGUGCAGACUCAGAGGACGAGAAGUUCCUCGGAAGACACAGCUGGGGAGCUCCCUGCUGUUCGGGACCUAAAGAAACUGGAGUUUGCGCUGGGCCCUGUCUCAGGCCCCCAGGCUUUCCCCAAACUGGUGCGGAUCCUCACGGCCUUUUCCUCCCUGCAGCAUCUGGACCUGGAUGCACUGAGUGAGAACAAGAUCGGGGACGAGGGUGUCUCACAGCUCUCAGCCACCUUCCCCCAGCUGAAGUCCUUGGAAACCCUCAAUCUGUCCCAGAACAACAUCACUGACCUGGGUGCCUACAAACUCGCCGAGGCCCUGCCUUCACUCGCUGCAUCCCUGCUCAGGCUAAGCUUGUACAAUAACUGCAUCUGCGACGUGGGAGCCGAGAGCUUGGCUCGUGUGCUUCCAGACAUGGUGUCCCUCCGGGUGAUGGACGUCCAGUACAACAAGUUCACGGCUGCCGGAGCCCAGCAGCUCGCUGCCAGCCUUCGGAGGUGUCCUCAUGUGGAGACGCUGGCGAUGUGGACGCCCACCAUCCCAUUCAGUGUCCAGGAACACCUGCAACAACAGGAUUCACGGAUCAGCCUGAGAUGAUCCCAGCUGUGCUCUGGACAGGAGAAGGAAACCGAGGCUUAGGAGAUGAAGUCUGAGGUGUUGGUGGAGCUGGGAUUUAAACCAAAAUAUGUCCAACUGCAAAGCAUGUAAGUAACAAUUUUAGAGGGUAUAUGGAGGUGACCCUAAGUAACAAGGAAUCACAUAUAGUGAGCAAGCAAUUUGCUUUUCAGUUUUUGGUCAAUCCUUAUGAUUAUUUAGAGGAGAAAGUUCAGUUUGGUGCUGGUAUAUCUUAUGUUUAUCACCUGACAGUUGUUAUUCUCUUUUUAACAAAGAAUACAGGCCAAGGCCCUGUGUCUUUAGCUGGCUUUGGUAUUUGGCCAAAAGUUAAUGACUUUGGCAGUUAGUGUUUUUAUCCAAUGCCAAGUGAUGAUGAUUUUCUCUUUAGUGACAGACAUUUUUUAAAAAAUUAAUUCACAUACAAAAGUAGUUUUACAGAUGAAGCACUAAAACUAGUGCAUUUCAUCUUAAACUGCAAAUUAUAAAGGGAAUAAUAGUAACUUGACAGCGGAGAGACCUGGCAGACACCACGUUCACCAACUGAUCAAAGUUAACAUCGUCAGAAAGGGGACAGACGGCAUGUGCCUCUCGAUAAGAUGCACUGAAGACACACACUCACUUCUGCAAUAUUCCUGCCAAGAAUGCCUCAUCUGAAUCUAAUCUGGAGUAUAACCAUCAGACAAACCCAAAUUGAGAGACAGUUUACAAAACACCAGCCUUGUACUCUGCUAAUAUGUCAAUGUCACGAGAGAGAAAGACAGACUGAGGAGCUGAUCCAGACUGAAGAAGGCUCGAGAUUAAUGCAAAAGCUGAUCUGGGAUUGCAUCUUGGACCUCAACUCUCCCCUUUUUAUUGUUAAGGGACACUAUUGGGACAAUUUUUUUUUUUUCUUUUUGAGACAGGGUCUCGCUCAGUCACCCAGGCUGGAGUGCAGUGGUGCAAUAAUAACUCACUGCAGCCUUGAACUCCCGGACUCAAGCGAUCCUCCUGCCUGAGCCUUCCGAGUAACUGGGACUAUGGGCGUGUACCACAACACCUCGCUAUUUUUUUUUUUCCUACUUUUUUAGAGACGGGGUCUCACUAUGUUGCCCAGGCUGGUUUCAAACUCAAGUGAUCCUUCCACCUCAGCCUCCAUAAAAUUUGAAUAAAGUUGUAGAUGAGAUUGGUCA